rnacentral:rRNA from 1 species
AGUUUGAUCCUGGCUCAGAUUGAACGCUGGCGGCAUGCUUAAUACAUGCAAGUCGAACGAGAAAGUCCCUUCGGGGGCGAGUAAAGUGGCGAACGGGUGAGUAACGCGUAGAUAACAUACCUUCAGGUGGGGGAUAGCCAGUCGAAAGAUUGGAUAAUACCGCAUAUGACCACAGUAUCUGUGGAUACAGGGGUAAAAGAUUUAUCGCCUAAAGAUUGGUCUGCGUCCGAUUAGCUUGUUGGUGGGGUAAAAGCCUACCAAGGCUGUGAUCGGUAGCUGGUCUGAGAGGAUGAUCAGCCACAUUGGGACUGAGACACGGCCAAACUCCUACGGGAGGCAGCAGUAGGGAAUCUUGCGCAAUGGGCGAAAGCCUGACGCAGCCAUGCCGCGUGAGUGAAGAAGGCCCUCGGGUUGUAAAACUCUUUCGCCGGUGACGAUCGUGACGGUAACCGGUAAAGAAGCCCCGGCAACUCCGUGCCAGCAGCCGCGGGUAAGACGGAGGGGGCUAGCGUUGUUCGGAAUUUACUGGGCGUAAAGGGCGUGUAGGCGGAUGGAUCAGUCGGGGGUGAAAGCCCGGGGUUCAACCCCGGGACGGCCUUCGAUACUGUCCAUCUUGAGGCCGGAAGAGGUUGAGCGGAAUUCCCCAGGUGUAGAGGUGGAAUCGGAGAUUUGGGGGAGAACACCCAGAGGGCGAAGGGGGGUCAACUGGGUCCGGUCUGGACGCGAAGGGCGAAAAANCGUGGGGGAGCGACCAGGAUUAGAUACCCCGGGGUAGC